CUGUUACUCCCUCCGUCCGAAAAUACGUGUCAUCAAAAUGGAUAAAAAGAGAUGUAUCUCAAACUAAAAUACGUUUAGAUACAUCCCUUUUUAUCCAUUUUAAUGACAAGUAUUUCCGAAUGAAGGGAGUACGUG
rnacentral:pre_miRNA from 1 species